GAGUGGAAGCGGCUACCCAGCUGGGCGCGGUGACGGAGGCGUUGUCCCAGCCGAUGUGAGCGACGUGCUUGACAUCCGUCGGGUUCCCGAUCUGCAUCUCCGGCUCCUUCGCAUCUGCAACACCAGCGGGCAAUGCAAGGUACACAUCUUACAACACCAUUCUGUUUCAUGCGCACCGCACUUUGUUUAAUUUGCAUUGAUUUUGAUUUGGAAGUAUGGCAUGAACAUCGUCGAGUUAGGUGACUGGUUCCUUUCGGAUGAAAUUUGAAAUUAUGGCAUUUUAUUAGUUUAGAAUCCUUGAUCUUACCGAAGAUCUGCGAGAUGUAACGGAGGCCCUUGAGAAGGCCCUUCAUCUUAGCUGGUUCCACAGGCGGCUGCCCGCCCGCGGUGCCCCCAGAGGAAUCCACCACUUCAAGUAUUUGCGUUCCCCACCUCUUGAACUAGCCUUCACAAGUAGUAGGUCGCAAUGUUAAGAGGAGAAGGGAUGGAUCAAGUCGUAGGGAUGCAUGGGCAAUUUCCAGUCUAGCGUUUGAACUGGGAAUGGCCAAGGUCGGUUGUCAUCCUCAGAAAUUUGUUUGUAAAAACUUGAUGCAAUAUUGCCAAACAACAUGAGGGGAAACUAACCCUGUAAAUGACCGACUGUUAUCCUGAAUAUUCUGUUUAGAACAGAACCGUGGCAAACGACGAUCAGAGAUUUUAUCCAUCCAUCACGCAGCAACAAAUAAUCAUUCUGAAACAAUGCUCAAUGAUUUGCCAGAAUAAUUAUCAGACCCAUUGAAUGAAACUCACAUACCUAAGGAAGCAGCAUUCAAGGAGCGAGAAAAUAUGGUCGAUGAAAUUUCAUCUUCUUGGUGCCAUCUUCAUUGUGGUUGACAAUUCUCUUGACCUCCUAUUCCUGCAUGAUCUGUCACAAAUUACCAGGAUUCUAGUCCCCUCCAGAGGUCCAAGAGAGGCAGGCCAAGAUUUCCUCAGUUUAGUUGGAGAAAUGGAAGGGCAGAAAGUUGUUGCAUCAAUCUAUUUAUAGUGCACUAUUUUUGGUGAGAGCUUUCCUUGCGUAGUCCAGUUUGAGAGGCCAUGAUUCUGUUCAACUGCUCCAUAAUGCAAAUGGCCAGGAAUGGGUAGUACAGAAGAAUGAGGAGGGGUCAUCUAGGUGGAUAGUCCUGUAGGCUCUCAAUGGCAGCAUUUUGUUUCAUCAUUUCCACGUAUAUCAUGCAUGUUAGGCCUAGUAAAGCCAGGAAAUUGUAAGUUCGUUAUGAAAUUUAUUCUAGUCAGUCCUAUAUAACAUGGUUUCAAUUGAAAUCCACUGCACAAACAUGACCUAGGCUUGCUGCUCAUUGCAGCCCUGCCCCAUUAUUGUGCACAAUUUGGUAUUUGUUAGAAAAUACAAAAUUGCAGGUUUAGAAAGUAAUUCAUUUUCCCACCUUCUCAUUUGAUACUUGGAGUAAAGGCCUGACUCCAAUUUCUAGCUCAGCUUUAGCCCAACCGUUUGUAAAUUAACUAGCUGAUUUCUACUUUGCAUGUCCAAGCCAUUGGAAGCAACAGGAUUAGGAGAAAUUUGACUCAAGAAAAUGAAGUAAUAGAUCCUUGUCUCCCAACACAUACCCACAUACAGAGACACUCACCUUCAAAGUACAUCGUAUUGUUCAAACAAGGUGAACAAACUUGUUUCGAUAUGAAAACUGACGACAAGCACUAAGAAUCAUGAUGAUUUUAUUGUGCAAUAAACAUUUUUGUGUCUCAUCUUUACAAAAUUGGCAUUCUUUCUUCCUUCUUUCAUUUUUUCUUUCGUUUUCUUUUCAAAAGAAAUCUUCAUCCUUUCCUUUCCCUUUGUGCAAAUGCAAUAUUACAAGCGGGUCAAAGAAUUACAGUCCACAUAUAAAGAAUGAAAAAAAUUCUGUGGUACAGCCGCUUCUCUGAUCCAAAAAAAAACCCAACCGAGUGAACUGUACAUGUCCUACGCUUUUACCUGCAAUCAGGAAAAUACAGAUUGUUGUUACUUUUACUUUUGAAUGCAUAGUUGUAACCAAUGACCAAUGUCUAAGAUUUAUAAAUGAAAAGAGGGCUCACCGUGUUUAGGUACUUCUCAUGAAUCUGUAAUGCUUCUCUGCAUGCCUUUUUUGCAUCCAGACUACCAGUGAUUUCAUUUAAAAUCUGUUUUGCAGGGGAGACAUAAACAUAACAUAAACUUCAUUCAUCGUCAUCACUUGAGAGAGAGAGAGAGAGAGAGAGAGAGAGAGAGAGAGAGAGAGGACCUUGACAACAUCGUCUAGACCUUUUGCCUCACCCAGUAACUUCUUGUUUCUAGCCUCCAGAACACUAGCAACAACAAAGACGGAUAGAGGGAUCUCCUCUUCUUUCUUAGCUGCUUGCAAAAUUUUCCGCUCAAACUUUCCACACUGUCUUAGGACACUUUCAUCAUUUGUGGUUGCCCUGGUUGUGCCAUUGUCACUCUCCAACAUUGAAAAAAGAUUUGGAUUGUACUCCAUAGACCACAUGAGCUGCAACGUUUUGAAGCUGUAACAAUAGUGUCUCAUGCAUAAACCAACACAUAUUUCUAGUACAACUGGGCCUAUACUUAUAUGUAUAACAGAAGUAAUGCAUGGAUAUCAGUGGUGCUCAAGUUGCAUUGUUAAGAAAACUAGCUCACUGCAUAGGCAUUACGCAUGCUAAUUACUAUGAAAUUUUUGUCCAUACAGCUUACCUCCCAAAGGUACAUUGUGUCCACGAACGAGAACUCCCUACGGAAAAGAACCAUCAGCAUUCGGAAGGCAAAUAAGUAUUCCCCUCCAUCAAGAUGUUCUGCAUAAACAAUAUUUUAUCAGAGCAUACAUAACU
rnacentral:lncRNA from 1 species